rnacentral:rRNA from 1 species
GAUGAACGCUGGCGGCGUGCCUAAUACAUGCAAGUCGAGCGAGCGGACGAGAAGCUUGCUUCUCUGAUGUUAGCGGCGGACGGGUGAGUAACACGUGGAUAACCUACCUAUAAGACUGGGAUAACUUCGGGAAACCGUAGCUAAUACCGGAUAAUAUUUUGAACCGCAUGGUUCAAAAGUGAAAGACGGUCUUGCUGUCACUUAUAGAUGGAUCCGCGCUGCAUUAGCUAGUUGGUAAGGUAACGGCUUACCAAGGCAACGAUGCAUAGCCGACCUGAGAGGGUGAUCGACCACACUGGAACUGAGACACGGUCCAGACUCCUACGGGAGGCAGCAGUAGGGAAUCUUCCGCAAUGGGCGAAAGCCUGACGGAGCAACGCCGCGUGAGUGAUGAAGGUCUUCGGAUCGUAAAACUCUGUUAUUAGGGAAGAACAUAUGUGUAAGUAACUGUGCACAUCUUGACGGUACCUAAUCAGAAAGCCACGGCUAACUACGUG